GCUGGCGGUAUGCCUAACACAUGCAAGUCGUACGAGAGUUUUUAACUCAAGUGGCGGACGGGUGAGUAACACGUGAGAAUUUACCUUUAGGAGGGGGAUAACAGAGUGAAAACGCUGCUAAUACCCCAUAUGCUUUCGAGUGAAAUGGAUUUAUUCGCCUAAAGAGAAGCUCGCGGCUGAUUAGCUUGUUGGUAAGGUAAUGGCUUACCAAGGCGACGAUCAGUAUCUGGUUUGAGAGGACGAUCAGACACACUGGAACUGAGAC
rnacentral:rRNA from 1 species